GAUGAACGCUAGCGGGAGGCCCAACACAUGCAAGCCGAGCGGUAUUGUUUCUUCGGAAAUGAGAGAGCGGCGUACGGGUGCGUAACACGUGUGCAACCUGCCUUUAUCUGGGGGAUAGCCUUUCGAAAGGAAGAUUAAUACUCCAUAAUAUAUUGAACGGCAUCGUUUAAUAUUGAAAGCUCCGGCGGAUAGAGAUGGGCACGCGCAAGAUUAGCUAGUUGGUGAGGUAACGGCUCACCAAGGCGAUGAUCUUUAGGGGGCCUGAGAGGGUGAUCCCCCACACUGGUACUGAGACACGGACCAGACUCCUACGGGAGGCAGCAGUGAGGAAUAUUGGGCAAUGGGUGCAAGCCUGAACCAGCCAUCCCGCGUGAAGGACGACUGCCCUAUGGGUUGUAAACUUCUUUUGUAUAGGGAUAAACCUACCCUCGAGAGGGUAGCUGAAGGUACUAUACGAAUAAGCACCGGCUAACUCCGUG
rnacentral:rRNA from 1 species